UCCCUGGUGGCUCAGACAGUAAAGAAUCUGCUUGCAAUGCAGGAGACCCAGGUUUGAUCCCUGGCUCGAGAA
rnacentral:tRNA from 1 species